GAUAUGGCUCAUGGAUAGAUGGAUCCCUGAGUUUACCCGUCUUUCACUCAGCAGACUCAGGUUGUUAUUAAUGUUCUGAAGGGAUGGAUGGUACUGGACUUGGUAUCCAGCAGAUAUCUUGGGGCACUGCGGUGUUGGACCUAGAGCGGGAUAAAAGACAACUGUACUUUUUUUAUUUUUUUAUAUUUUUACAACACCUGAGUGCUGGGAUUAAAGACAUGUGUCCCCGUGCCAGGGACAAAAAC
rnacentral:lncRNA from 1 species